rnacentral:lncRNA from 1 species
CUAUAAAGUUCCAGACAGGCUUAAGGAAGGUGCUGGAGAGGAAGCCGUUGCCGGAGAAGAGGAACGGACCGAGGAACGCGAAGUUCACCGCGCAGUCAUCGACCUUACGCGGGCGGUGGUGGAGGUGAGUCUCUCCUUGGUAUGCUCCGUUGAGGUUUCGUAUGAUGGAUACGACGGAGAAAGCGAAAACGAUCACGAGAGCGCGUAGGAUCACGCGCCUACGGAAGGAGGUGGGCGUUAGUUUCAGCUCAACGCCCAUGGCGAGGAAGAAGAAGAGAAGAGGAAUCCAACAGUUAAAACAAGAAUCGGAUCUUUACUUACUCAGAAAGAGAGAUUCAAUUUAGGAGGAAGGAAGAAGGAUUUAGCGAGUGCAAAACCUGGAGGAGGUAUGGUUUCCACCCACGAGGAUAACUAUUGUGUUUUGUAAACAUAACCACACCCUUCUCGGUUCUCUUCUCUGCAUCUCAUCCAUUUUUUUUUCUGUUUCACCCAACCAUCAGAGAUCUAAUCUUACAUGGUACGUGUAUGAUCCACUUCGAUGAUGAUGUUUCUUCUCUUUAUUUCUAAGGCGAGAUUUGGGAAUUAGGGUUUUGAGAUUGGGAAUCUGAAGAGUGAGAUAAGGCAACGAGAGAUCUGUGAUUCUCUCGGAAGCAAAGAGAUGAAGUAAUAAAGUGACUACUGCGAAGAAGAGAGAGUGUGUGUGUGAUGACGUUAUCAUGCCACGUGGUUCGCGUGAAGCCCUUCGAUGUGUAACUGAAUGUUAUGGCAUUAUUAAUAUGCACAACUCCCGAUGGACUGAUAAUUCAGAUUAAGAAAGAGAUUACGUCAAAAUAAAUGUUUAUUGGCGAUAAUUCUGAAGAAAUGGUAUAAACUUUCUUUUUUUAUAUAUAUAUACUUCCAUUAGUCUCGAGUUUAUUCUUCUCUAAUUUAUUAGUUUAAAAAUCACGAAAGUAGCGGUUUCAAUCUAAGUAAACCAAUUCGAUUCGGAACCUAAUCGAUCAAACCGAUCCGGGUGGACCAAGCCUUACAGUUUUUCACAUGUCUGUCUUAAUAAUACUAAUUAGGGUGGCUUAUUUAAUAGGUGGUGUGGCUUAUAGUUCGGAGAGUGAAUCCAAUCCACCGACACUCGAGAUAUCGACGUUAUACGAUUCUGUGAAUUGGGAGCAAUAAUUAUCGGCGGAGAAUCGAAAAAGAAUAUUUCUUGCAAUUAUUGUAUUUUGUUACAGCUGUCUUGAAUCUUGAGUGGUACCUAGACAUCACUAGCUUAAGCUAAAGCUGAAUAGAGAGAGCAACAGCAACAAAAAAAAAGACAUUAUUGCAUUUGCAACUAAUCUCGGGUUAUCCUUUUAGAAUUUGUAAGUAAACUCAUUUUAACCACUCAUGUGUGGUGGGACAGUAAUAAGGUUUUCAAACACCUUUACGUACGUAUCUAUACAUAGUUCAUGACACUUUGAGAGUUGAGACUAGGAACUAAUUGUUAUUAGAACUGAACACGGAUCCGGGAGAGAGCAAUAAUACCCCUACUAUGAGUUUAGGAAGCCUUUGGAAAAACUGUGUAUAAUCAAAAAAUAAUACCCCUACUAUAGCAACUAAUUCUACUUUUACUUCCAGCAAAAACUGCCAAUUUAUAAAAGUGCGGCGAAAAACGCUCUGGCGACGGCGAUGGCGAUAUAUUUCUAGGGUUUUGAUGAUUGAUCGAGAUUGGGAUCCGGGAUCUCAGAGGAAGAUUGGGGAUCGAGGAGAUCUAUGGCUUGGGGGAAGGGAAAGCAAAUCGAAUUCGUCUAUUGGAGAUUCGGAUUUUGAUUCGUUAGCGAUAACAUUGAGGGGUGAUCCACAGGCUUUCCAUAGGUUGGGAAGAAGGAUCGCGGUUGUUAGGAAAUCGUUAUUAUUGGGAUCUUUCAUAUGGAUGCAGUAUCCAGAAGAUCAAUCAUACGAAUUACAAGGUAUGGGAUUUGGUAUAAUCGAAAGAUCCUCUUUCGCUUCUAUUUUGGAAAGUGGUAAUCUGUCUUCCCGAUUACAUCAUUUUUUAGGGGGAAAAAUAUGGAGGCACUUGGAUUUUAAAGGGAUUUUUCUUCGUGGUUUGGGGGUUUUCAAUUUAACGUAUGGAGGUUGGUGCGUUAAGGAUAUUAGGUUUUUGCAGGAGAAACAAAAAUUGUUUUCAAACAUUCUUAAGAUUAGCUUGAAUGUACUUAAAGGUGAUAUCUUUUAUUUUCUUCGUAUGAGUAUCUUGUUUGAAGGAAAGGGGAUGCGAGGAAUGAAUGUGGGAGUCGAUAAUUGUAUGCUGUCACGAACUCAAUGUAUCUUUCACAGGUUGGCAAGGUCUUGCAGAUGGGUAAGGGCUUAUGGGGUGGAGCGUAACCAAGAACGAGAAGGGUGGGAUGCUCGAUCUCACGGUAAUGGAUGGUUUCUGCAAAUUCAAAUCCCAAAUGAAUGUUGGGUUAUAGGGUUUGAGGUUUUAUUUGGUGCAUGGAGGCUUGCAUUAGGGAUUGCAAUAUUGGCACUUUGUCUCUUCCCUAGCAGGAACAAAGAUAUACGGUGUCUGGAUAGUAGGUUGAGCAAGUAUUGGGUCAAGCUAACAGUAAAGAAUUACGUCUUUUUGGUUUGUAUAUAUAUUGGUCUUUGGGAUUAUGAUAUUGUUGGAGGCACAUUUGGUCGGUCUUGUUACUAUAUGGUUUGGAUUUGUGAUUGGGCCUACUUAUAUAUGGAUCGAGAAUUCUUGUAUUUUAUGGACAUGCUAUGUGUAUUGGUUCUACGGCAACUGGUAAUUAGGAGCUUUUUGUUGUUAUUUCAGAUAGUAAUUUAUAUGGUAUUUGGGAAAAUAAUGAAUUACAAGAGGCGAUUGGAGUUUGGCAAUUUGUGUUUGUUUAGAUAUUUUCCUAAUAUUUUACUUGCUCACAGGAUAUACAAGUGGUUUCUUUGGAGGCUUCAAGGAAUUUUUUUAAGGGAGGGAGUGGAGACAGUCCUUUUAUCAUGGGGUUUAGAAAUUUUAGGGUCUCAUUAUACCCAAUUUAGCCAGCUCAGCAGAGCCUUUCUAUAUUUUUUUAAAUGAGAGUACUAAGUUGGAAUUGCAGAGGAAUGGGAAGUAAGUGGAGUAUAAGUUAUUUAACAGAGAUAUGGCAUAAACAUAAACCUAAUUUUUUAUUUUUAUCGGAAACAAAACAAGAAUUUGAGCUUGUCCAGAAAUUUCAAGCUCAUUUCGGAUUUGAUAAUCUGGUCACAGUGGAUCCAGUGGGACGAAGUGGUGGAUUGGCGCUUUAUUACAAUAAUGAGUUCCAGGUUAAUAUUCUAUAUUCAAGUAAUCGAAUGAUAGAUGUAGAAGCAGUGGCGUUGGGAAAAACGGUAUAUAUGACGUUUGUGUAUGGAGAUCCAGUUCAAGAUUUGCGAGAACGAGUGUGGAAACAUUUAACUAGAUAUGGAAUUUCCCGAUCCGAGCCAUGGUUUAUUAUUGGUGAUUUAAAUGAGAUUACAGGAAAUCAUGAAAAAGAAGGUGGAGCUUUGAGAAGUGCGAAUUCAUUUGUUCCUUUUAACAACAUGAUAAGGAAUUGUGGUUUACUGGAGUUUCCUGCCAAAGGAAAUAAAUUGUCAUGGCAAGGAAGAAGAGGGAAAGGAAAAGGGGCAGUAACGGUUAGAUGUCGUUUAGAUCGAGCAUUGGCAAAUGAGGAGUGGCACACGCUAUUUCCUUGUUCCUAUACAGAAUAUUUAGGGUUGGUGGCAUCGGAUCAUCGUCCAGUGGUGGCUUACAUAGAAACUAAAGUUAUCAGGAGAAAAGGACAAUUUAGGUUUGAUAAAAGGACAAUUUUGGUUCUCGGGUAACAUUUUCAUCUUGUAGAUAUUUAGUUAUUUCUCGUAUUUGUUUGAUUUUGGGUAUUUUUGUGUUCUGAUUUUUUGGUUUUUCAGAUUCUUUAGAUCUUUUUGUCCUAAAUACUCGAACUGAGUUAGACUCAUUACGUAACCAAAUUACAUCAUAAAUUUUAUAAAUACUUGAAUCAUUGACUCAAACUGACCUGGAACUAAAAAGAACUGAUAUGAACAAAAAAUUGAAAUACCUAGUUAUAUAUAAAUGCCCAAGACCCAAAGAACUUGUACCUCAAAGAAACCGAUUUAUAUUUGAUCUGAAGACCCAAAUGCCCAAAUCUAACCUUUCAUUAUAUUUUGUGCAUUUUAUAAAAAUUACAUUUGUUCAGUUGGUGAAACUUAAGAUUUAUUUGAGAAGUUUUUGGCUAAUUUAAUAGUAUAGAUUUGUAGGUUUUUUGUUGAGCAGUAAAAAAAAGAUUUGUUGGGUUUUUGAUAAUUUUAAACUUAUCUUAAAUACUAAAUUGUUUUUUUAUCAAUAUAAUAAAAUUUACAUAAUAUAUAAUUUUUAAACUUAUCUUAAUUAUGAAGUUAAUGAGACAUAUUUAGAGAAGAAUAUAAUAAAGUGUACAUAUAUUAUAUUUUCGUGAACCAAAUUUAUGUGAUCGUAUAUAUAUGAUAUAUCUUUUCGUUUUCAAUAUUAUUAAUUAAUGAAAAGGUCCGAACAACAUUUUUAAGUAAUUUAUUAAAACUUGUCCGUUUUAGUAGUAUUCAUUUCUGCUUAAGUGCUUGAGUUAAGCCCAUAUAUAUUUGAGUUGGGUUGUGUCACGAGAGGAUAAAUUCGUAACUUACAUCGGGGCGCAAAUAUAAGCCCAUUAGGUUUCAACCUCAGCUUCUUCAAAAACCCUAAAAUCUCAUUUUCACUUCACUGCGCCUCCCACACUCAACAAAACAAGAGCCGAAACCACAAACUCUAACAACCAUGCCGCCCAAGUUGGACCCGAGCCAGAUCGUCGACGUCUACGUCCGCGUGACCGGAGGAGAAGUCGGAGCCGCCAGUUCCCUCGCCCCCAAGAUCGGUCCCCUCGGUCUCGCCCCAAAGAAGAUCGGAGAAGACAUCGCCAAGGAGACAGCCAAAGAGUGAAAGGACUCCGCGUCACCGUCAAGCUCACCGUUCAGAACCGUCAGGCGAAAGUCACGGUGGUUCCGUCCGCCGCUGCUCUCGUCAUCAAGGCCUUGAAGAGCCGGAGAGAGACAGGAAGAAGGUGAGAGAACAUCAAGCACAAUGGCAACAUUUCGUUUGAUGACGUGAUCGAGAUCGCUAGGAUCAUGAGGCCUAGGUCGAUUGCGAAGGAGCUGAGCGGGACUGUGAGGGAGAUUCUGGGGACGUGUGUCUCUGUUGGGUGCACUGUUGAUGGGAAGGACCCCAAGGAUCUUCAGCAGGAGAUUCAAGAGGGUGAGAUUGAGAUCCCUGAGAACUAAUGAAUCAAAAGAAAAGAAAUUAUCUUUUUAGUUUUGGGUUGUUGUUUCGUUUUGUUAUCUCUGUUUAAGAAUAUUUUGUGGUUUUGAUUAUGAGAAUUUGAGAUUGCGUUUGAUGUUCUAUGCUAUUGGUAUCUACAAAGUUUUGAGCUUUGAUCUGUUUUGGUUUUGAUCAUUAUUUUUUGCUUAUUGGAUGGUAGAAAGUGGGCAUUUUCAGGCUUUUUUAUUUGAUUUCUAGACUGGUUCUUGUUUACCGCAUAGGUAUUAGUGCUAAGCUUUCGACACUGGUUCUUGUUCAUCCUAACUCUUCGCUCUUCAUGUUGAUUAUCACCUAAGGAAGCAACAUGAUGAGACUGAUCCAAACCGAAACUAUCUUCACCAUGUCUCCUGAACACAAUCAAAACCUGCUCACCUAAGGAAGCACAUGAACAACACUCGAGUUCUUGAGCAGAGAAGAAACAGGCGAGGACGGAUCUAACCAACCCGUUAGAGUCAGACCCAACAAGCAUAGCUCCGGUUCCACCGGGCUAAGCACACGCUCGAUUUCGUAAACAAGUGAAGCAGGGACUAAAACCGUCUCAAGAUCCAUAGAAAAGACAAACCCGAAAGAAGCAUCAUCAUAACGUAGCUCACUAGUGAACUUCCUGUGCUUGAAAGCAAAAACAGGCGGCGCGUGGCUCACGCGAGCAUCAGAGAUCCCUUGUAGGUUCAUAGCGAGAAGAGCUGAAACCGAACUCCGGCCAAUACAGAGAGCUCUCGCGUCGUUACUCAGCAAGUUCAAACCUUUAAGCUCGGCGACGACUUGAGUAGUCAAGUCGAUGUUCGUCUUACACUUGUCCGACUCUAUAAAGCUCCAAACUGGCUUAAGGAAGGUGUUGGAGAGGAAGCCGUUGCCGGAGAAGAGGAACGGACCGAGGAACGCGAAGUUCACCGCGCAAUCAUCGACCUUACGCGGGCGGUGGUGGAGGUGAGUCUCUCCUUGGUAUGCUCCGUUGAGGUUUCGUAUGAUGGAUACGACGGAGAAAGCGAAAACGAUCACGAGAGCGCGUAGGAUCACGCGCCUACGGAAGGAGGUGGGCGUUAGUUUCAGCUC